AUCAAUGCAAAGUAAUGCCGCUUUCCCACGAGGGCGUGAACCAAGAAGGUGAAUUACACUUUUGUGGAUUACGACUUGUAUGAGCAUGCUAUCGUGAAGAUUGCCUGUGACGUUAAUACCUCCACGACUCAGUCGUGACUGAGGAUCAAACCGGUUUGAAUUUCAAUCGUGGCAGUAGCACGCGUGGAACAAAAUAUCUACGCAGCGUUUUCGGUUUUGUCAGACGGGUUUUGUUGGAUUUGAUCAGACGGAAUCAGUAUUUUAUAAUCCGAUAUUUAAUGAAUACAGGGAUUGUGAUAUACGAGCAUCAGCAAGAGUUUAACGAAUUUCGGAGACUUUAAGUACAAAAGAAGUAAUUAAAAAAUUUGUAAACUUGAGAAGUUCGUAUUGCCAAGAAUUAAAGAAGAUCAAGGAUAGUCAAAGGCCAGGAAAAUCUACAAAUGAUGGCCAUAAACCAAACAAUAGUGUAGUUUACGAAGAUGAAUUCCUUCAUUCAUCCUUUUGUAUAAUGAAGAGAAAUUAUUAUUAUUACACUUUAAUAUUUGAUAUUAAUACGGAUAAUCUCUUACAAUAAUCGAAUUAGAGGUUCGCUCCAACGUCGGUAUAUCGGAAGCAAUAAUUACUAUCAACCAAAGCAAGCAAUACGAUAUUGUAACUGUUCUUAAUAUUGCCUGAGCCACUUAAAGGAGAUUUUAUGACGAUGUAUUUUCCAUCGAGAGUUUCUAUGUAUUCUGGAAAAUUCUAAUGCGUUUUGAAUCCAUAUUCAAUAUUUUUCUUAUAUUCUUGUAUCAUCGGUACUUGAAAAAAUUAUUUGUGUUCUCAUAUGUUGCAAAGAAAUAAUACUGAAAUUGAAGUUAAUCAAGAAAAGGACAAAUGAUAGUGAGAAAUAUUGUUAAUGAUGAGACUUUUUCUCACAAAAAAGAAAAAAAGCAGAAGAGAAGAAGAAUAGCUAGAAUCAUUUCGGCAAAUAUUAGGAUCGUUAUUGCGAAUCAUCGAAUUUCCAAAUGCAACAAUGAAUUAUAAUUUUGUUUGUAAACAGAAUGUGUACAUCAACUAUUCAAUAUCAAUAUAAUAACUCAUCUGUACCAAAUUUAUAUGUUAUGCAAUGAAGCUUCUGAAUAUAUUUAUUCAUCUUCGAAUGAAUUAACCUUAAUUUAUUCAAAGGUAAUUAAUAUAUAUUAAUUAAUCUUUAAUUAUAUCUAUAACUAAUCUAUAAAUUCUACAGGAAAUAAUUGUAUUUUCUUAUUUAUUAUUUUAAUGUCAAUACAUAUAUAAUAUUACUUAACAUGUAAUACAUAAUGUAAUUUGUUUAGUUAUAUAAUUUAUUAUUUAAAUAAUAACAAAA